ensembl:lncRNA
CACACACACACACACACAUGCAUUUUUAAACUACACUAUUAGUCGGGUUAGAGGUCAUAAGCCUUAGGGUGGGGGUAUUUUUCUAGUAACUGUAUACCACGUACUUGGACAAUACCAACAUUUUCAGUGUCAAUGCGAUAAUAGAGUUCAGGCUAAAAUGCAAGGUGUGUGUAUGCAUACAUAUAUGCAUGUGGUUACUUCACCGUAGUGUUCAAUGUGUUAUGGUACCUUUUUAAUGUCUACUCACUUGUAUUGUUGUAGGAUUUUUAUAGAAAGAAACCACAAUGUAUCACCACAUUAUUUUGCUUCUCGUUUACAUGAAGCUAAUCCCUGUUCAACCUUAUAUCACUUGUCCCACCCAUUUCACCUUGAAAAUGGUCAUGACACCACUUUCUGUUGCAAAUCACAAUUUCUCAACUUGAAAAACUCCUUUGUAACAUUAAACUACCACGAAGUGUGGAUAUACUUGCGGUAUCAUAUGAAUAUUCCAUAGUGGUGGAGUACUAGUGUAUGCAAUACAAAAAGCCAAUGUAAGUUUUAUUAGGCAGAAUGAGAGUGUGUAAAUUCAAGUUUUCAGAAAUUAUAGUAACAUGCCAGAGAGGUGGUCAAAAAACAGGUCCAUAGGGUUAAACUAGUGCAAUUGACACAUUGACACUAGUUGAACAUAGGAAGUACAGUGAAUGAACAAACCAGGAACAAGGGAACCCAAUGUUUGGAAAUGACACGAACAGAGAACAUAAACACAGAGGGAAACCCAGAGGAUUUAAAUAAACAAAUGAUUUAGGGAGGAACCAGAAACCUGUGAGGCUGUCGCAUUCAAACCCUCAUCAAAUUCAACCAGGAGCACAGACUCCUUUUCUGAGGCAGUCCAGGAAUUACCUCACUGGCAAUCAUCAUGUUACUAGUCAGCUGUGACUCAACAAAAACACUCAUUUGAGGACUAUAUAAACAAGCCACAUACUCACACAUCGCUAAGUCUUGCCAUUGUUUUCCCUGUGUAUUACUAAGGAGUGUAUUCUGAUUCUGUUAUUGACCUUCGCUUCAUUUACUUAAUCUGCUUUAUUUACUUCCCUUUUUCUGUUUGACCAAAAGGAACAAACAGGACAAAAAGAGCACAGAGUAUGGGACAUGAUGGAACAAAAUGAGACAAGAGCUCCAGUUCUGUCUUCUUUCUCUGUCUGGUGGUGAUCUGCCAAAAAGCACAGCAGCUGCUGGCGUGACGUUGAGCUGUGACUCUGCGCUGCACUGGCCAAAUGACCAACAUGAUACUUUAGAAGGUUGGCACUCUAUCCAGGGUGUCCCCUGCCUUGUGCCUCGAGUUCCCUGGGAUAGGCUCCAAGCUUCCUGCAACCCUGUGUAGGAUAAGGGGUAUGGAAAAUGGAUGGAUGGAUAUUUUUAAACUUUCAAAUGAUAUUUUAAUGUAAAACUAUUUACACAGACAUUGCAUAUUAACCCAUUUUGUUUACCAUUUCAG